UACAGAGGUCCCAAGCGUUGUUCGGAUUUACUGGGCGUAAAGGGCGCGUAGGCGGUCACGCACGUCCGUUGUGAAAUCGCUCGGCUCAACUGGGCGGGGUCAGCGGAUACGGUGUGGCUGGAGCAAGCUAGGGGGCAAUGGAAUUCCCGGUGUAGUGGUGGAAUGCGUAGAUAUCGGGAGGAACACCAGUGGCGAAGGCGGUUGCCUGGAGCUUUGCUGACGCUGAUGCGCGAAAGCGUGGGGAGCGAUCCGG
rnacentral:rRNA from 1 species